rnacentral:rRNA from 1 species
GACAAUUGACCCUUAAGUUUGAUCUCAAAUCAGGUAGGACUACCC